rnacentral:rRNA from 1 species
GUCUACGGCCAUGCUACCCUGAACAAGCCUGAUCCUGUCUGAUCUUGGAAGCUAAGCAGGGUUGGGCCUGGUUAGUAUUUGGAUGGGAGACCACCUAGGAAGACCAGGUGCUGUAGACA